GGGGAAUUUUCCGCAAUGGGCGAAAGCCUGACGGAGCAAUACCGCGUGAGGGAGGAAGGCUCUUGGGUUGUAAACCUCUUUUCUCAGGGAAGAAACCUGACGGUACCUGAGGAAUCAGCAUCGGCUAACUCCGUGCCAGCAGCCGCGGUAAUACGGAGGAUGCAAGCGUUAUCCGGAAUGAUUGGGCGUAAAGCGUCCGCAGGUGGCAGUGUAAGUCUGCUGUCAAAGAGUCUGGCUCAACCAGAUAAAGGCAGUGGAAACUACACAGCUAGAGUACGGUAGGGGCAGAGGGAAUUCCUGGUGUAGCGGUGAAAUGCGUAGAGAUCAGGAAGAACACCGGUGGCGAAAGCGCUCUGCUAGGCCGUAACUGACACUGAGGGACGAAAGCUAGGGGAGCGAAUGGGAUUAGAUACCCCAGUAGUCCUAGCCGUAAACGAUGGAUACUAGGUGUUGCUUGUAUCGACCCGAGCAGUACCGUAGCUAACGCGUUAAGUAUCCCGCCUGGGGAGUACGCAGGCAACUGUGAAACUCAAAGGAAUUGACGGGGGCCCGCACAAGCGGUGGAGUAUGUGGUUUAAUUCGAUGCAACGCGAAGAACCUUACCAGGGCUUGACAUGUCGCGAAUCCCAGGGAAACUUGGGAGUGCCUUCGGGAGCGCGAACACAGGUGGUGCAUGGCUGUCGUCAGCUCGUGUCGUGAGAUGUUGGGUUAAGUCCCGCAACGAGCGCAACCCUCGUUUUUAGUUGCCAUCAUUAAGUUGGGCACUCUAGAGAGACUGCCGGUGACAAACCGGAGGAAGGUGGGGAUGACGUCAAGUCAGCAUGCCCCUUACGUCCUGGGCUACACACGUACUACAAUGCGCCGGACAGAGGGCAGCGAGCAUGCAAAUGCAAGCAAAUCCCGUAAACCGGAGCUCAGUUCAGAUCGCAGGCUGCAACUCGCCUGCGUGAAGUUGGAAUCGCUAGUAAUUGCAGGUCAGCAUACUGCAGUGAAUUCGUUCCCGGGCCUUGUACACACCGCCCGUCACACCAUGGAAGCUGGUAGUGCCCGAAGUCAUUACCCCAACCUCCGGGAGGGGGAUGCCUAAGGCAGGACUGGUGACUGGGGUGAAGUCGUAACAAGGUAGCCGUACCGGAAGGUGUGGCUGGAUCACCUCCUUUUAGGGAGACCUACCCCAUCAAAUCACCGAAUGCAAAUAUUGAGGUCUUGAUGCGGUCACCCAAGGUCGGUCGCAGGGUAUGGAUUUGGCUUUCAAACUAUAAUAAAUCAGGUUGGGCAUAGGGGCUAUUAGCUCAGGUGGUUAGAGCGCACCCCUGAUAAGGGUGAGGUCCCUGGUUCGAGUCCAGGAUGGCCCACCUAAGUCAAGUAAAAAGUCAUAAGGCACUCGUCAAGAAAAGGAGUAAAUUCUUUUUUUUAGCAUUUGCCUUUGAACUUUUUUCCCUCAAAAAAUGGAUGCAAUCUAGCAACACGACUUAAUUAAAGUCAGACUGCUGGGUAUAAAUCCAGCCAGAACCUUGAAAACUGCAUAGAAACGCGAUAUUAGCAGGUAGAUAGUAGUUAGUAGUUAGUAGUUCAGAAAACAACUAACAACUAACACCAAAUGUGGUCAAGCGAAUAAGGGCUAAUGGUGGAUACCUAGGCACACAGAG
rnacentral:rRNA from 1 species